rnacentral:tRNA from 1 species
GAUGUUAUAGUAUAAGGAGUAUAGCAACCUGCAAAGUUGAGGGUGUUGGUGGGAUUCUGAUUGGCAUCU